rnacentral:rRNA from 1 species
AGAGUGAACGCUGGCGGUAGGCCUAACACAUGCAAGUCGAACGGCAGCACAGUGGUAGCAAUACCAUGGGUGGCGAGUGGCGGACGGGUGAGGAAUACAUCGGAAUCUACCUUUUCGUGGGGGAUAACGUAGGGAAACUUACGCUAAUACCGCAUACGCCCUUCGGGGGAAAGCCGGGGAUCGCAAGACCUGGCGCGGAUAGAUGAGCCGAUGUCGGAUUAGCUAGUUGGUGAGGUAAUGGCUCACCAAGGCGACGAUCCGUAGCUGGUCUGAGAGGAUGAUCAGCCACACGUGGAACUGAGACACGGUCCAGACCUCC